rnacentral:piRNA from 1 species
GUAUUCAAGUAAAUGUGCCACCUC